rnacentral:rRNA from 1 species
AUUGAACGCUGGCGGCAGGCCUAACACAUGCAAGUCGAGCGGAUGAAGGGAGCUUGCUCCUGGAUUCAGCGGCGGACGGGUGAGUAAUGCCUAGGAAUCUGCCUGGUAGUGGGGGAUAACGUCCGGAAACGGGCGCUAAUACCGCAUACGUCCUGAGGGAGAAAGUGGGGGAUCUUCGGACCUCACGCUAUCAGAUGAGCCUAGGUCGGAUUAGCUAGUUGGUGGGGUAAAGGCCUACCAAGGCGACGACCCGUAACUGGUCUAAGAGGAUGAUCAGUCACACUGGAACUGAGACACGGUCCAGACUCCUACGGGAGGCAGCAGUGGGGAAUAUUGGACAAUGGGCGAAAGCCUGAUCCAGCCAUGCCGCGUGUGUGAAGAAGGUCUUCGGAUUGUAAAGCACUUUAAGUUGGGAGGAAGGGCAGUAAGUUAAUACCUUGCUGUUUUGACGUUACCAACAGAAUAAGCACCGGCUAACUUCGUG